rnacentral:rRNA from 1 species
UACAGAGGUCCCGAGCGUUGUUCGGAUUCAUUGGGCGUAAAGGGUGCAUAGGCGGCGGGGCAAGUCUGAUGUGAAAUCCCCGGGCUCAACCCGGGAACUGCGUCCGAUACUGGCAGGCUUGAAUCCGGGAGAGGGUAGUGGAAUUCCCGGUGUAGUGGUGAAAUGCGUAGAUAUCGGGAGGAACACCAGUGGCGAAGGCGACUACCUGGCCUGUUCUUGACGCUGAGGCGCGAAAGCUAGGGGAGCAAACGGG